rnacentral:rRNA from 1 species
AUUGAACGCUGGCGGCAUGCUUUACACAUGCAAGUCGAACGGCAGCGCGGGCUUCGGCCUGGCGGCGAGUGGCGAACGGGUGAGUAAUACAUCGGAACGUGCCCAGUAGUGGGGGAUAGCUCGGCGAAAGCCGGAUUAAUACCGCAUACGACCUGAGGGUGAAAGCGGGGGAUCUUCGGACCUCGCGCUAUUGGAGCGGCCGAUGGCAGAUUAGCUAGUUGGUGGGGUAAAGGCCUACCAAGGCGACGAUCUGUAGCUGGUCUGAGAGGACGACCAGCCACACUGGGACUGAGACACGGCCCAGACUCCUACGGGAGGCAGCAGUGUGGAAUUUUGGACAAUGGGCGAAAGCCUGAUCCAGCAAUGCCGCGUGUGUGAUGAAGGCCUUCGGGUUGUAAAGCACUUUUGGCGGGAACGAAAAGGACUGUGCCAAUACCACGGUUCGAUGACGGUACCCGCAGAAUAAGCACCGGCUAACUACGUG